rnacentral:lncRNA from 1 species
GGACAGAGUGCAGCUAAUAAGUAGAAAGAAAAGAAACUUUAGAAAAAAAUCUACCUGUAUUGAUGGGAGUCUUCUUCCAGGCGGCAGCGCUGCCCUUGCUGACAGGUCUCUCAGCAUGCUUACCUGGCCUACUCCCAAGUGCUGCUGCAGACGAUGCAUUCUGCAACUUGGGUGACUGGCUAAAUGCAUGCAACACUCCCCGCGGGGCUCCAGAGCCUCGAGACAUCUGGCUAGAAGUCUGCUUGAGCGAGUGGUGCUGCACGAUGGGGUCUGACUUGCUCUGUACGGGAGAUGCAGUCUGUUGCAGUAUCCUCUGCUCGAUCUCCUGCUCCUGCUGCAGAGCUUUGACGAAGGCAGCCUUCAGCCUGUUAGUGUGCUCUGCUUUCAAGGCCUUCUUCUGAUUGGAUGUCAUACAGGUUUCACACAUGAUGGUUCCAUUCUUCUCCUCCCUCCAGCGGCAGGUGAAGUCAGUCUUACACUGAGCGCACAUAUAGGGCUCGCGAGAUGAAACGGGGAUGGAAACUUUACCUUGAGUUUCCAGCAAAUUCUGCACCACUUCUUCCAAUCCAACCAGGUAAAUGAAUUCGUUAUUAGCUGCGCUGGGCAGGAAGUUCAUCUCUGGAGCAGGAGGCUUCGGAGGAGGGAUCUCCAGCAGUGUCUUCUCCAGCUGCUUCCGCAGCGCCAGCUUGGCUGCAGCUUGCCGGCUGGCGGGCGACUCGUUGGAGUUGACGAUGGAAGCAGCACUGGUGGUGGUCGCAUUCGCCUGAGCCGACGUCACCGUUGUACCCUUGAUUGAAGUUGGAGAGGCCUGCGGGAUGUUGACGAUCAGGCUGGUAUUGGGGACGUUGGCCACCCGGAUCAGACCCUGCUGGAUAAUUCUCUGCCCCUGAAUUUGCACGCUGGGGACCGAUGCCCGCGGUGCCAGCAGCAGUGGAGGUGGCCCCGUGCUGGAGUGCUGUCGGAUGUUGUGGAUUUGCUGUGCUCCUCUGACAAGGGGUGGCAUGACUAUCUGUGUGUUUUGCUGGGUUCCUAAUUUUGCAGAGGUCUGCUGCCCACCACGAACCAAUGGAGGAGGAAUAACAGUGCCCGGUAUACGUGUAGAAGAGGUCUUCUGAGCAGUGGUCUCCUUCUGGAUUUGACUCUGCCGUAACUUCUUCAAUAGGACCAGCUUUGCUUCCUCUAACCGCAGCUCUUCCUUCAGCUGUUUGAUCAUCCUCUCACGCUCCUCAGGACUGCUUUUCAUGAGUGCCUCUGUGUUGGUCUCUUUUAAUGCUAUUUUUGUUAAACCAUUCAUUCUAGGGCUAGAAGGUUCAUUGUCUGACAGCACUAUGACGUCCGGGGAGGGGACUCGCUUCUCUCUCUUUAUUUCACUUUUGGAAGUACUCAUGUCCACGGGCUCGUCUCCCGUCUGAACCUCCACUUUAAUGGUUGCUUUCACCUCUCCGCUUUUUAACAGUCCUUGCACUUUUCCAGCUCCGGGGUCCGUUUUUAUUUUCAUGUCUCCUUCGGCACUUAUUUCAGUUCCUAACAGUCCUUUCUCCAUCUUUAGUUUCUUGCUGUCCACAUCGUUAUGCGGUACCUCACGUUCUAAGGCUCGUUUCUGACUUCGUGUCCUGCAUGCUUCCUCUGUCAUUGUGAGGCUCUGUCAGUGAGGUUCAUGGGUCCCGCGGGGGGUCCUGUCUGCACCCAGGGGCUGAAAGUGACCGCAGUGCAGGUCAGCCGCGCCGCGUCCCGCCGCUCCCCGCCGGCUCUCCCCCGCUCCGCUCAGCUCCGCGCCGCCCUUUCCUCUCUUCCCCCGCGUCGCCGCGGGCUCUCCCCGGUGCGGGCUGUCGGCCGCGGCUCCCCCGUGCCAAAUAAUGCGCUUCUCACACAUGGAGUCGCGGCGUCACUCGGCGGAGCAUGCGCGCGGCGGGGCCCGGAGCGCGGCGGGGCCGGGAGGAGCGGCGGCAGCGCGGCCCCGCGCCGCUUCCGGGCAAUGGUGGAGCAGAUUGACGACUGCGCUGCCCAAUGAGAAACCGUGGUGUCCAAUCCCGCCAGCCAAUCGUGGCCACAGCCCGCCUUCGGCCAGCCCCCAUGCGAAGCCGCGAGGAACGAGGUGGGGCGAUGCUUAUGAUUGACGGGUAUCCUGACCACUAGGCUUCAAGCGACACCGCGUGAGUGGGCAAUCGGUAGCCAAUGCGCGGGGAAGGGGCGGGGCCGGGCCGCGAGGCGCGGGGUGGGGCCGCCCCCGAGGCCGGCUGAGGUGAGGCGCUGCCCGCGGGGAGGGGCCGCGCCGCCGCCCUUAUCCGCCCGCGCAGCGCCGCCUGGGGCUCGCGAUAGGGCCGGCCGCCCCCAGCUCCCCGCCCUGCCCCGGCGGCGGGCCCCGGCGAGUCAUCCCGCUUCCUCCCGCGAUGUAGGUCGGGGUGCGCGGGCACUGCCGGGCCCUCCGCCACGCCUCCGGGCUGAAGCGCGCCGUGCCGCAGGUGAGGGCCGCCCGAGUCCGGCCGCCGUCUGAGCGGGGCCGGAGGGGCGGUCCGAGAGCCGCCGGGAUCGCGCAGCGCCGCACUGCGCUGCCGGAACGCCGCGCUCCGGGCCGUGUCCGCCCCCCUCCCCCCUCUGCUUUCUGCCGCUGUUUCGCCCCGGAUGGAACAUCCGCAGCUCACGCAGCGCUCGGUGUCUCCUCCGUUUUAAAACCUGGAGGCGCUGUUGGCGAUACGUCGCUCUCUUCCACCCGUUGCGCAGCCCCGUUUCGCUCCGGGCUUCACCUGAGGCGGCCGAGCGCUGCAGGUCGGUGCUGACGGUGCCGGUCCGCCCUCGCGGCGCCGCCCGUUCACCUCCCUGCCUCAGCGGGGCCGCCAAAGCAGCAGAACUCCUCGCUUACCCGGCCGGGAGCUGCGGCUGUUCCCAGAAAUCUCCAUCGGUAACUUUUCCCGAAGCCGUCGUUCGGGUUCGAGCCUUCACGCGGCGAGCGGCUCCAUGGGAUGAAACCUAUUCGGCUGCUUCUGUGGUGCGAUGCGAGGCGCUGGCGAGCAGCUCGGGGGGUGCUUUGGAAGGGGACCGUAUGGCACAGGGCCUGAAACGCGUCGUUGCUUCCAAGUCUCGCUGCGGAUGGGUCAGCUCGGUGCAUUUCUUCCUUCUAAGUGUCAGGUCGGGAUGUGAAAAUACCUGCCCGAACUGCUCCAGCUGUGGGGUAAAGAGGCAGAAAGCACUUUUCCCUUAAACCAGAUCCCAUUUAUGAAGAUCAAACGUGAUAUCCAUCCUGAGAGCGCAACUGCGGUGAAUAAAUACCUCUGGCUUAGAGCUAAUUAAGAAAUAACAACCCCAGCUGUUGGACCGACCUGCAGAAGCCUUGUUGUAACCCUGACAUCUGCCCGCCUCCAGCAGUCCCUGCGAGUUCCUGGCCACAUCAGCCUUCCCUGGUCCUGCAGCAGCGUGCAGAGGUGAGCAGUCAGGUUCCCCAUCAGGUAAUUCUGGUUCUCCUUCCAGGGCAGCAGCCCCGGUACAGCAGGAAGGCAGCCCAGGUCCUGGCAGGGCGAUGGGAAGGGCCCUUUGUGGGCAGGACUGCCUGCAGAUGGGCUGAAGGAAUCAGUAUUCCACCAACUGCUAGAAGAAAAUUAAACUUUAUUUAAAAAUUCUUCUAAUGUAGAAAACGAGAGGAGACGAAGGCAAAAACGAAUGCCCCUGGUUCCAUCUCAUUACAGGAGUUACUGUAUGUACAGCUUCAGAAAGGAGCACUGGCAGAAGGUACACAUCCUACUUAUGGAGCACUACAAACACUUAACAAUACGUUGUACAAACCUGACGUAACAUUGAAAGGUUCACUGCAGGAAACAAUUAAAUACAGUCGCUAAGACAGACAGUAGAAGAGCACAGACUGAUGUUAUUUCAUCCCGAAUCCUCCGUGUUCCAGGCAGCCCAAACCACCCUCAAUCAGCCCCCACUGCCUUGGUGAGAAGCUGCUGCAUCCCAAAGGAUUGGGAUCGCUCUGCAUGGGCUGGAGGUCAGCGGCACAGAGGGGGACACCACCAAACCCUUUCUAUCCUAGUUUGACUUUCUGGCCAACGUGAAGAACUGAAUCAAAUCAAAGCAGUGAAGCAAUGCUGUGCUGCACCUCGCGUGCCUAUAGGCGGCGUCGCAGCUGAAGGCCCAGCUCGUUGAGCAGUGUACGUUUUUGCACGUGUGGGACAACAACAGAGAGAGCUCGAGACUGGCCAGGCUGGUGGUGGGUCCGUUCUGUGCCUGGAACUGUACGGGAGGUGGUCCAUCUGUCCACUGCAAGAUAACAAACAGCAUGAAAAUCCUCCAGCCACGACCUGGGAAGGGGAGGAGCAGCAGCAAGGCCAGAAAAAGGAGCUGCCCACACACACAUUGACUACCUUGAGAUCAUUUACUGAUUUCAUGACAAGCUGAGCAUCAGGUUUGACUCUGUGUCAUGUGCAUGGAGCAGGGGGAACUGUGACUUGCACAAAUGACAGACCUCAAUUUAGAUGCUUCUGUUUGAGCCCAUUCUACAGUGCAGCUACAGUGUUUCCAGAGUGAAUGAAGCCUCUGGUUCUCACCCGUUUCAUGUUUUCCUCUCAAAUUUAUCAAAAUCUCCUGAACUAGGCAGAUUUUGUAGUUUUUAAUCCUCUUCCACCUCCACAUUUUUAAUCUAGCAUGGAUUACACAUAAGCCAGCAAUGGCAAGCAAAGUCAGCAGAGCAUACAGCACAGGGGGAUGGGCUGUGGGCAUCACCAACGUGGGCUGCACAGCACAUGUGGGUCUCAGGAUCCCUCUGCAGCCAAAGCAAUCAGCUUCUUCCUGGCAGCCUUUUUUUUCCCCUCUCAUAAAGGGAACGUUGGGAAAAGAUGUCAGGUUUCCCUGCAUCCCACAUUCACAUUUGGACGUUAUUUCAGUCUGAAAGAAUGGCUUAUCUUUCACUUUUGCUGAAUUCCAGCAUAAGAGAGCACUUUGGUAUUUUUAAGCUAUGUUAAAAGUGUUUCUGACAGUGAGAAGUCCAAAAGAGGAACCCCUUAAGGUAGCAGCUCUACAGACAUUGAAUGUCAUUAACUGGAAAUUCAGAUUUAUAGAUAAGGUGAAAACCCACAAAUGCUAGAAUUAUCUCAAUAGAAACCAUACUCAUAGCAGUACUCAAAGCAUUCCCCUGAAGAAGGGGAUCUAAACAUUAAAAUUAAACCCGAGUAUCCAUUAAUUUUCUUUCAAAAGUAGCAGCUGUCCCCAGCACAAAGUGGCUACCUGCUACAGAAGGCAUUAAAAGAAAGUUCUGGAGUGCCAAUAAAACCACUGAAGGAAACAAAGACCUCACAGGGAUAUCGAGGGAAAGCAAAGCACGCUGUCCUGCCUCAAGAGUGCCCAGAACCAGAAGAUGAAGAUUGCUUACCGUGAUUAAAUUGUGUUCUGGAAGACUGCAUGCUUCAAUGUGGUCCUGGAGGAGCUGCUGUGAGAAGUUCUGAUGCAUCUGUGCUGCCUCAUGUGCAUCCAUUGCAUUUCCACAGGCUUUGUUCAGGUCUGAAAGACAAGAGCUUCAUUUGCUCACCAAGAACCACCGUUCACACUUAUCUUCUCUGAUGUGACUCUUCCCCAUAGUAAUGAAUGAAUGACUUAAACUGCCAAUAUAUCAAGGCCAUCCCACUCAGAAGGGCAGGGGCACAUUGAGAACCUGAGCCUUUCCUCCUUCCAACAUUGCAGGAUUUGAUGUUAUUUUAGUUUCCAAUCAUUCAAAUAACACUACGCUAAUUGGACAAGCAGGAAAGCACCUCCUUACCCAGCAGAGCCCCUGUGCUGCAGGCACACACACUCUCUAUGUUCUGGCACCAUCUAGUGGGAAUGAGGGCUCACCAGUUUGUCACCAUGCUUUGGCAGCACAGACCUCACAGCAGUUCAUUUAUUUUCCCUCCUCGUUCCCCUUUGCUUUCAGGCCCUCACAGCCUGCAGCUCUGCCCAUCCCCAACGCAGCUCCUAUUGUCUUGUUUCCUGUGAGGUUUGCUGGCAUAUAUUAGCUCAGCCACAUUUCAGAAUGGUAACACAGUAAGCAUGGCAAUGUUAGCUAACAGGGAUAAGCAGUGUAGAGGUGAGGGCUGAGACACACAGCUCCUGUUGGUGAACAAGUGCUGGCAUUCCACUGCUCCUGAUGGAGCACCUCUUCAAAAGAGAAUCUAUCCGUUCCAUGGGAGAGCUCUUAGAAAAACCAAAGCAGAAUGGGAAUGGUGCCUCUGUGACAGGAGCAGCAACAGCUGAACAAGGGACAGCCUUUCAUCUACAGUAGAUUCAUUAUUAUUAUUGGCAUGUUUUGUAUGUCAACCACCACUUGGAAACGAAUGAGAGAAGUUAUUUCAAUUGCCUAGAAGCAAUUUUGUAGCAAAGGCAGUAGCAAAGCAGAACAUAAGCCUGGCCCAGUGCUUGGUUUACAGCACCAUGCUUAUAGCAAACACGACAGCUUAAUAGAAACUGAAACUGUGGGGUAAGUUCUUGGGAAAGGGGUAGAGUUACUGCUUUAUUUUCUAGUGAAAGCAAAUCAAUUGCAGCAUUAACGCUGACAGUCUGCCAAGAAGCUAGUCAAUAUUUGAACAAAGCAUCCUGGGGCCCAUGCAAGUCAGAUUAAACAAUAUUUAUGUAUGAGAGAUAUAACAGUCUCUUGUAUUUAUUAAGGCCCCCACACAGAAGCAAAGCCUAAUAAAAUGUUUACUGAAGCAAGAGCUGCAGUCAGAGCAAAGCCCUGCAACAACAGCACGGAUGCUGCAUGGCUGUGACCUGCAGCCCUUCCCAAGCAGUCACAGUAUUCUGCACGCCCAUGCACUCAGUCUGCAUGACGAGCAUCCCCACACAGACUCCCAGUGAGCAGCAGUGGUUCUUUGCCACUCAUUUUAAGCACAAGACAUUUUCCUCCCUUACCUCUCAGCAGAGCUGAAGACCACAGCUGCACAGACAUAUCCGGGAUCUUGCUUGCAAGCUGCAUGGCUGGCACUACCAUAUUAUUACUUUCCUGGUGAAAAGCAGACAUCAACAUCAAAGACGUACUUUUUCCCCUUCCAAAUAUGUAAUGUAUCGAAGAGAUGCUUUUGCCUAAUUUAAUUGCUAGCUAGCAAGCUGAAAUGCUUAAUGGGACAAUAACGCAAACAGAUCAUCUAAAGCUGCCUGGAAUUUUGCCUUGUCCCAGGCAUUAUGGUGUCUGUGUUGUGCAAGACAAUAGAAAUAUUUCACACAUUCUGGCAUACGAUGAGAAUUCAGAAGAGCUCACACCCACAAUUCCUUCCAAGCAAUCCCACUGCAUGACGUUACUUGUCCUUUAUUCUAUUGUUUUUUUUUUCCCCCCCCGAGUGAUUUCAGGCAUUACAGAAACACCUAUCUCUACAAUAGCAGCCAAACACUACUGCUUUGUAAAGAGUGUUGCUCAGUGUGCAAGAAUGGUGUAUAUCCACGAGCUGCCGGCUCUCAGUGGGGCACCUACAUACAAACACUCCUGAACACAACCUGAGAAGCGCCCCAAUUUGCUCUGGCAAAUCAAUAAGCACACAGUAGCAGCAGACACACGAAGGCUUACCCUGUGAUUCCCUAAUACGUAGAAUAUAUGACCCAGGAGCACGAGGGAACAUGCUGUUAAUCGAUUCAAAUCUUCUGCAUUUGACAUUUUCAGCGUCUCUCGCAAAAACCGCCUGCCAACACAGAGCACAGCACGGAGCAAUUAACCAAAAUCUGCCUUCCCUGAUGUCUUUAAGAAAUGUCAUGAAGAACCCAAUGAACCCCAUCAGCAAAUGAGCACCCGGGAAUAAACGCGUGCUGCAGGUGACCUGAAACAAAGAGCUCCAUUCCCAAACCUCACCUUUCAUUUAGCAAGAAGGACUAUAACAUAUCCCCCUUUGAAAAGCCUUUCUUUCAGGUGGGCCACUGCAGAACACCACACAAGUAUUACUCAGAGCAAAAGAGAUGUAAAACAGUCUUUGCCUCAAGCGAAACAGAAGGUUGGCUAAACCCACGGGGAACCCAGGAGGUUGGAAAGCAAAGCCUUUGAGUUUUCGUGUUGAGUUUAAAUCCCGAUUUGGUUUUUCCUUCUCCCCCCCCUUCCAGGUGCAGAGCUUUGUACUCACUUUGCCUCGUUGUAUCUUCCUUGGAAGAAGGAGAACAGACCUCGGAUAUAGAAAGCUGCUGCUCGAAGGCAGUGGGAGCUACAAACAAAGCAGAACGUUGACAUUGAGGCACUGCACAGCGACAAACACAGCACGGGCUGUGUCCCAUAACCAAACCUCUGCACAAAACAUUACAUUGAACAAACAGUCAGAGCUUCUGCCUUGAAAAGAAGAGGAUUAUUCUGUCUUCUGUGAAUAAAGCCUGAUACAAAACCAGUAUUACCAUCAUCAGUGCAACAUCAGCACAGUUUCUGGAACUCUCACCUCACAGGAAAAUUGUGGUCUGGAUUUAUCCUUUCCAAUAAGCUGUAAAGCUGCAAAGUGAGAGGGGAAAAAGGAUAAUCAGUGCUUCUGACAUAUACAGCUGAUGGUAUAGACAGCAUGAGUCUGACACAAAGUGCACAUCACAUCAAAACAUUCAAGUCACUACAAACACACUGACAUUUACUUAUAUUGGUUAAAUCAAACAACAGGUGUUCCAAUGCUAGAAAUUAUGUCCAUUCUGGUCCUAGAAAC